AUGGAGAUCAAGAAGAAGGACGCGAGAGGCCUGGUGCUGGUGCUCUUCCUCGGCCAGCUCUUGGCCUUCUCCGUGGCCGCCGCCAGCUUUGCCUCCUCCUUCCUUGCCAAUCUUGGAGUUGAUGCACCACUCACACAAUCAUUCUUCGCAUACCUCCUCUUGACCUUAGUUUAUGUACCAAUCCUCUUGCAUCGACGACAGAAGCCGCGGAUACCUUGGUAUUGGUACUUAGCGCUGGCCUUCGUCGAUACGCAGGGGGGCUAUCUGGUUGUCAAGGCAUACCAGUACUCAUCGAUCACCAGUGUAACAUUGUUGGAUUGUUGGACUGUUGUCUGGGUCAUCCUACUCACAUGGUACGCACUAGGCACGAGAUAUUCUUUCUGGCAAUUUCUAGGGGCAGGGACCUGCGUGGCAGGCCUAGGUCUUGUGCUCCUUUCAGAUGCAAAAUCUCCAGAUGAGCAAGAUCCAGGUCAAAUGCCACUUCUAGGGGAUGCCCUUGUUAUUGCCGGGACAGUUUGCUUUGCAUUUAGCAAUGUUGGAGAGGAAUACUGUGUCAAGAAGAACGACCGAGUGGAACUUGUUGCGAUGCUUGGACUAUUUCAGUUGCUUGUCAGCAUAAUUCAGAUAUUUAUAUUCGAAAGAAAGACCCUAGAAGCAAUUGCCUGGUCUCCAACAAUGAUUAGUUCAUUCGCUGGAUAUGCCAUUGCAAUAUUUACGUUCUCCUCCAUUACUCCAUUUGUCCUUAAGAUGAGUGGAUCAACGUUGUUUAAUCUCUCACUCUUAACAUCUGACAUGUGGGCAGUAGCCAUUCGACUAUUGUUCUAUGAACAUCAGAUCAACUGGCUGUACUACGUAGCAUUCUCAGUUGUGGCCAUUGGAUUAAUCGUCUACUCACAGAAUGAGAGUUCUCCGGUCGAUGGAACAGCUAAGGGUACAGAAGCGGCAGCUCACUAUCAACAACUUCCAAGUGAGGAUUGCUCAACAAGUGGUUCUAAUUUGGGCAGCCAAGAAAACAAGCAACUGGAAGCAGCUCACAUCUGCUAG
rnacentral:rRNA from 1 species